rnacentral:rRNA from 1 species
GGAACGGGCGAGCGAGUACAUGCAAGUCGAGCGGACAGAUGGGAGCUUGCUCCCUGAUGUUAGCGGCGGACGGGUGAGUAACACGUGGGUAACCUGCCUGUAAGACUGGGAUAACUCCGGGAAACCGGGGCUAAUACCGGAUGCUUGUUUGAACCGCAUGGUUCAAACAUAAAAGGUGGCUUCGGCUACCACUUACAGAUGGACCCGCGGCGCAUUAGCUAGUUGGUGAGGUAAUGGCUCACCAAGGCAACGAUGCGUAGCCGACCUGAGAGGGUGAUCGGCCACACUGGGACUGAGACACGGCCCAGACUCCUACGGGAGGCAGCAGUAGGGAAUCUUCCGCAAUGGACGAAAGUCUGACGGAGCAACGCCGCGUGAGUGAUGAAGGUUUUCGGAUCGUAAAGCUCUGUUGUUAGGGAAGAACAAGUGCCGUUCAAAUAGGGCGGCACCUUGACGGUACCUAACCAGAAAGCCACGGCUAACUACGUGCCAGCAGCCGCGGUAAUACGUAGGUGGCAAGCGUUGUCCGGAAUUAUUGGGCGUAAAGGGCUCGCAGGCGGUUUCUUAAGUCUGAUGUGAAAGCCCCCGGCUCAACCGGGGAGGGUCAUUGG